rnacentral:rRNA from 1 species
CUACGUAAGGGACUGCCGGUGACAAACCGGAGGAAGGUGGGGAUGACGUCAAGUCAUCGAUGGCCCUUACGGCCUGGGCUACACACGUGCUACAAUGGUCGGUACAAAGGGUUGCCAAGCCGCGAGGUGGAGCUAAUCCCAUAAAACCGAUCGUAGUCCGGAUCGCAGUCUGCAACUCGACUGCGUGAAGUCGGAAUCGCUAGUAAUCGUGAAUCAGAAUGUCACGGUGAAUACGUUCCCGGGCCUU